UAAAAGUCGGCAAUAUUGCCACAUGGGUCUCUUUGGAAAGACUAUUAGAUCUACGGAUGUUUCCCUCUUCCUGUCAUAUGACUGGGCUCAUGGUAGACAGAGAUCUGUGUCCAGAGAAAGCAUCAUGAACAGGAUGGAAAAACGAUUUCCCACCCAGCUCUCACAAGUAACAAUGGGCCACUCAGGCUGACAUCUUAUUCUUCAUGGACUUCGACCUGGUGGCCACCAUCUCCACCAUCCUGGCUUCCUAUGGCUCCAUUGCUGCUGCUGUGCUAAAGAUCUGCCCCCUCAGCUGGGAGUCUGCACCCUGCCAUCUCUACCUGUGCUGCCCACCUGACAGCUGUGGGGUUGCUGUACAGCACCCUAGCCUUCAUGUACAUGCGCCCCACUUCCAGCUACUCGCUGGGCACCAACAAAGUGGCCUCUGUGUUCUAUACAGUGGUGACCGCCAUGCUAAAUCCCUGAUCUACUGCCUGAAGGACGCCUUGCACAGGGCUCUCUUGGGGAAGGAGGCCAGUUGGCUGGGCAGGCAAAGGCCUUGCUGCAAGGCUCACAUGAGACAAUAACCUGGGAAGAGGAUGGGGCUGAAGUGACCUUGGCGAUAAUGACAGCAGUCCACUCAGGGGGCUGGAGGCUGCAGGCCUGCUGGGAGACAUUCUCUUUCCCUUUAUGUCUGUGCCCAACCCUCCAUCUUGACCAGCCUGUUUGUGUUAUGUACUGCAGUCAUGCAGUGCAAUUGCUCCUCAAGCAGAGUACGCAUAUUCUGAGAAGCCAUCUCUGAGCUAGCUUUAAUCUAGCUAGAUUGGGUACUGGAGGUGGGAAGCUGCAGCAGUGCCUGCUUGGAACCCUGGGUAAUAACUCGUGGGUCUGCCAUGGCUUCACUGCUCCAGUACCCAAGCUAGCUAGGCUAAAGCUAACUCAGGUAUGUCUACAGUAACUGGAAUCACUGCCCAUGGUUGCAGAGGUGCCAUACCCUGUGUGUCUCUGUCUGUUCUCUCUCCCCCUUCGCUGUCUGUGCCUCUGCGCCUGUUCCAAAUGUGUUUCACAGCAUACACACAGGCAAAUUAGCUAAAAACAUAAAAUACUCUUGCUGGAAGGUUGCAAUGUAACCAUAGGUGCCGACUUCCCCGCUUUCCCCUGGGUGCUCGACCCUCCUCU